rnacentral:rRNA from 1 species
AGAACGAACGCUGGCGGCAUGCCUAAUACAUGCAAGUCGAACGAACACUUCGGUGUUAGUGGCGCACGGGUGCGUAACGCGUGGGAAUCUGCCCUUGGGUUCGGAAUAACAGUUGGAAACGACUGCUAAUACCGGAUGAUAUCGAAAGAUCAAAGAUUUAUCGCCCAGGGAUGAGCCCGCGUAGGAUUAGCUAGUUGGUGAGGUAAAGGCUCACCAAGGCGACGAUCCUUAGCUGGUCUGAGAGGAUGAUCAGCCACACUGGGACUGAGACACGGCCCAGACUCCUACGGGAGGCAGCAGUAGGGAAUAUUGGACAAUGGGCGAAAGCCUGAUCCAGCAAUGCCGCGUGAGUGAUGAAGGCUUAGGGUUGUAAAGCUCUUUACCGAGAUGAUAAUGACAGUAGUCGGAGAAGUAACGCCCGGACUAACGUCCGCGCCAGCACGCCGAC